rnacentral:rRNA from 1 species
AGUCCUGGCUUAGGAUGAACGCUAGCGGCAGGCUAACACAUGCAAGUCGAGGGGCAGCGGGAUGUAGCAAUACAUUGCCGGCGACCGGCGGAUGGGUGCGUAACGCGUAUGCAACCUACCUUAUACAGGGGAAUAACCUUUCGAAAGGGAGACUAACACCCCAUGGUAUUGAUUUAAGGCAUCUUAGAUUAAUUAAAUAUUUAUAGGUAUAAGAUGGGCAUGCGUAUGAUUAGCUAGUUGGUAAGGUAACGGCUUACCAAGGCGACGAUCAUUAGGGGUUCUGAGAGGAAGGUCCCCCCACACUGGUACUGAGACACGGACCAGACUCCUACGGGAGGCAGCAGUGAGGAAUAUUGGUCAAUGGGCGCAAGCCUGAACCAGCCAUGCCGCGUGCAGGAAAAGACGGCCUUAUGGGUUGUAAACUGCUUUUACAUAAGACUAACCGUAUAUUUGCGAAUAUACCUGAAUGUAUUAUGAGAAUAAGGAUCGGCUAACUCCGUGCCAGCAGCCGC